rnacentral:rRNA from 1 species
GUAAGGAAUAUUGGACAAUGGGCGGAAGCCUGAUCCAGCCAUGCCGCGUGAAGGACGAAGGCGCUCAGCGUUGUAAACUUCUUUUGGAUGGGAACAAUAAUCGAGACUUGUCUUGACUUGAGGGUACCAUCAGAAUAAGCACCGGCUAACUCCGUGCCAGCAGCCGCGGUAAUACGGAGGGUGCAAGCGUUAUCCGGAAUCACUGGGUUUAAAGGGUGCGUAGGCGGUCCGAUAAGUCAGCCGUGAAAUCGCUGGGCUCAACCCAUGCAAUUGCGGUUGAUACUGUCGGACUUGAAUGGGGUUGAGGCUGGCGGAAUGCGGCAUGUAGCGGUGAAAUGCUUAGAUAUGCCGCAGAACACCGAUUGCGAAGGCAGCCAGCUGGGCCUUGAUUGACGCUGAGGCACGAAAGCGUGGGGAGCAAACAGGAUUAGAAACCCUAGUAGUCC